GUUAUAUAAAUAAAUCCAACUUGUAUCAGUUUCAUCUCCCUGGACUAUCUUUUCAAUCACUCAGCAAGUGUGACCCAUCAUCAUUCAAGCCAAUCUUUCCAAGUCUCUCAUCAUAAAGGAGUUCAUCCAUUCUCAUGAACAUUUUAAUAAUUCUGAUGGGGUCGAACAAGAGAUACAGGGAGAGAGAGACAUGCAGUAUGGACCAGGCAGCAGGAGAAAACAAAAAGCAGUGGAGAGUGUUAUGAAAGACUGUGGGAUGGCUCCAAUCACUUUCAGUCCCUCUGGUGGACACCAGACUGGUAUUCAGCUACAAUUAUAAAUUGCUGCCUAUCAUGACUGGCAAGAUAUUCAAGAAUAGCACUGCAUUUCAGGGUAGGGACCUCAGCCCUGGAAGCAGACCAGCAUGUACAAAUCACAGCCCUUCACUCUCUGUCUGUAAGGUCUGUGAAGGAAUGCAAACUCUGUGUACUACUGGUGGUCGUCUUUGAGAGCAGGAACAAGUAUGGCCUGGAUAGGAAGAGCUUGGACCUGGAAUUUCCCAGAAGAACAACAAAAGCCUCUAGCAGGACAUAAGGCAAGGCAAUGGCAGGCCAAGCAUUCUGUCUGUCCUUCCUGACUCACCUGCAUUUUGCCUGAUGACUGCUCC